UCGUUCUCGUGAUAAGCAAAAAAGUACACGCAAAAGGGAACGUAAUUGCAAUUUUGACUUUUGGGUCAAUUUUGUUUAGUUUGCAAAUUUUGACCGAAUUGAAAAUGUGAUGGGCUGCACUGAUGGGCCCCUUCAAUAUGCACAUCCAUAUAAAAGAAAAAUGGGAUUCACGUCCAUCUAUAUAUGUAAAAAAGACAAAAAAAACAUCAAUUUUUUUUUUUUUGCUUUUGUUUCUUGUUUAAUAAAAGAGCAUGCAAUACUCAAGGACUGUCAAGUAGUGUUUUUCAUUCCAAUGUUCAUGUUAAUUACAAUUGAUUUUAACAAGAGGGUGUUUGAAUUUCCAAUAAUUUUGUUUGUGGACAAUAAUUUUGGGGAGGGAGUAAUACUUACUUCUAAAUUAAUUCAGCUAGGUUUGAUACUGAUAUCUAACACUUUUAUUUAUUUUGUUUUCAUUUUCCUUUUCCUUUUUCUGAUUAACUACUUUUUUUUAUUAUUUUUUUAGAUUAUUUUAGCAUAAUUUCAGAGUGGAGGAUAUCAUUUCCAGGUAUCAUAAAAGCAGCCUUAAUGCAGUUUUUGGUACAUCAAAAUAUAUUUAUGACAAUAACAGUUUAUGGUUUUGGAGAAAUUAAGAAAACAAGUUACAGAAAAUAAGGUGGAGAAGGGCUUUUUGGAAUUGGAAUCGGAAUUGGAAUUGAUUGUGAUUUCCGUGAACUAAUGGCGGGAGUUGCCACAUUGCAAUCAUGUAAAAAAUGUGUUUUUAUUUUUUUAUUUUGUCCAAAUUUGAAUUUUUGUCACACCUGUUUGCAGUUAUCCGUGGUGAAAAUUCAAGAAGGAAGUGUAAUAAUGAAAAUCAAUGAAUGUGAAUAUGAAUUCAAUUGUAUAUAUACAGUCAAUUUGUCGUGGGUGGUUGGCUAGAAGAUAUUUCAACCAUGUCUGCAGCUGGAAGAUGUCUACAAAGGUAAUUUUAUUUUAUAAACUAAAUAUAAUUAUAAUAAAAAAAUGGUUGUUUUUUUUUGUAUAUAGGGUAUGUUGCAAGAUAAUCUUCCGAUUAUGCCCUCGGAUGUUAUAGAGCUGCUGAAGCUGAUCAUCAAGGGAGACAUGUCCCUGGGUCAAAAGGAGAAGGAAAAUACAGCUUUGAGGGACCAAAUUAAACAAUUUGAAACACGCUGGUCUGAACAUGAAAUUAAAAUGAAGUCUGUGGAGGAAACUUGGCAAAAACAGAUUACUUCUUUACUGGUCACUUUACCAUUUUACCCUUUUACUAUUUGGAUUUUUUUUGUGAUUAACCUUAAUUGGUGUGGGCUAGUGACUUUACCCUUCUACAAUUGAGUUUAAUUUAUUACCCUUUUACCAAUGAAUUUACAUUAUUAUCCUUUUUUUUACAAGUGAUUUUACCUUUUUACCUAUUUACAAGUAAAUGAGUUUACUUACCAUAUGGUUUGUUGUGGAAUGGUGCAGAAGAGUUUGGUUGCAGCCAAGAAGAGUCUUGGGGAAGGGGAUUCAAGGGGGGAUGGCCUUGGCAGCAUUUCUUUAGGAACUCAAACUCUUGUGGAAUACAAUGGUGGUGGUGGGGUGGUGGAUCAUCUAUCAAAGGAAUUGGAUCAAAAAACACAUGAUUUUGAUGAUAAUUACAAUUGAUUUUAACAGAGGGCGUUUGAAUUUUAAGAUUCCAAGGUAUUUCUGCCUGUGUUUGUCUGUUGCAAAAACAGAAAUCAAAGCUCUUGCCGUAUGAUGAUGAUGGUCCGGUGGUGGGUUGGUUGAAUUAUUGGAGGUGCGAGGCGAGGCUGGCCGGUGAUGAUGGUUUUGCGACAGGGGAGAUAACUAGUGGUGUAGAGAUGGAGGAAGGGUGGUGUUAAG
rnacentral:lncRNA from 1 species